rnacentral:rRNA from 1 species
AGCGGCGGACGGGUGAGUAACGCGUGGGGAACCUGCCCUAUACAGGGGGAUAACAGUUAGAAAUGACUGCUAAUACCGCAUAAGCGCACGGAGCCGCAUGGCCCUGAGUGAAAAACGAUAGUGGUAUAGGAGGGACCCGCGUCUGAUUAGGUAGUUGGUGGGGUAACGGCCCACCAAGCCGACGAUCAGUAGCCGACCUGAGAGGGUGACCGGCCACAUUGGGACUGAGACACGGCCCAAACUCCUACGGAAGGCAGCAG